rfam:Asian citrus Psyllid, Diaphorina citri - Florida Strain, whole genome shotgun sequence.
GCCUAGUUAGCUUGGUUGGUAGCGCGUCUGCCUUGUAAGCGCAAGGUCGCGGGUUCGAUUCCCGCCCGGGGCG